rnacentral:rRNA from 1 species
UACGUAGGGCGCAAGCGUUGUCCGGAAUUAUUGGGCGUAAAGAGCUCGUAGGCGGCUUGUCACGUCGGAUGUGAAAGCCCGGGGCUUAACCUGGGAAUGGCGAUGGAUACUGGCGAGCUAGAGUGUGUCAGAGGAUGGUGGAAUUCCCGGUGUAGCGGUGAAAUGCGUAGAUAUCAGGAGGAACACCAGUGGCGAAGGCGGUGCUCUGGGCUGGAACUGACACUGAGGAGCGAAAGCGUGGGUAGCAAACAGG